UGGUAAAUCAGUUCCUACAGAGCUCCGG
rnacentral:piRNA from 1 species